rnacentral:rRNA from 1 species
UGGGGAAUCUUAGACAAUGGGGGAAACCCUGAUCUAGCCAUGCCGCGUGAGUGAAGAAGGCCCUAGGGUCGUAAAGCUCUUUCGCCAGGGAUGAUAAUGACAGUACCUGGUAAAGAAACCCCGGCUAACUCCGUGCCAGCAGCCGCGGUAAUACGGAGGGGGUUAGCGUUGUUCGGAAUUACUGGGCGUAAAGCGCGCGUAGGCGGAUUAGUAAGUCAGAGGUGAAAUCCCGGGGCUCAACCCCGGAACUGCCUUUGAUACUGCUAGUCUUGAGUUCGAGAGAGGUGAGUGGAAUUCCGAGUGUAGAGGUGAAAUUCGUAGAUAUUCGGAGGAACACCAGUGGCGAAGGCGGCUCACUGGCUCGAUACUGACGCUGAGGUGCGAAAGUGUGGGGAGCAAACAGGAUUAGAUACCCCCGUAGUCC